UUUAUGAGUUCUAUCUGCUCCUCUCUAAACCAUAAUUUGUGUCAUGAUGAGAUAUCCUCAGAUGGUUUACCGGCUAGGGUGAUCUAGACAUUUUAUGUCAUGCAGUCUAGAUAAUCUAAAUGUCUUUGUUAGACUCUGUUUAAAUAUUUAUAAGAGCUGGGCUAUUUACCACAGUGUGUCAUGUGUACAGACUCAGUCGUCCCUCAUUAUGUAUCACCCAAAACAGUCCCCUGAACCAAUCAGGCUGUAUUAUUAACAGCACGGUUGAUCUAUGACUUGCAAACUACUCCAAUCCUUAGAGGGUUAAACAUUUUUGAUGCUUAGUGCGGAACAGAUGGGCAAAGUCAGACAGACUGGGUGAAAGAGUGAGGAACAGAUAACAGGUAGGUCAUAGAAACUGAGUGAGGUAAAAUAAGGAACAUACGGCAGAACUAGACUGGGUGAGGGAGAGACUGAGGAGUAGAGAGGCAGAAUUAGAUAGAGAGAGAGUGAGUUAUAGAUGGACAGUUUCAUAGGAUAAGGGAGAGCAAGGAAGAGACUGUUAGAGUCAGACAAAUUAGGGGGUAGAGUCUAAGGAACAGACAGUGUGAAAGAGUGAGGAACAAACAGGAAGAGUUAGAGAGACAAGGUGGGAGAAUAACGAACAGAUGGAUAGAGUCAGACAAGGUGAGAAUGAGGAACAGACGGAUAGAGUCACAGAUAAGAUGAGAGAGAGUGAGGAACAGAUGGAUAGAGUCAGACAGAUAAGGUGAGAGAGAGUGAGGAACAGAUGGAUAGAGUCACAGAUAAGAUGAGACAGAGGGAGGAACAGAUGGAUAGAGUCAGACAGAUAAAGUGAGAGAGAAUCAAGAACAGAUGGAUAGUCAGACAGAUAAGAUGAAGGAGAGUGAGGAACAGACGGAUAGAGUCACAGAUGAGAGUGAGGAACAGAUGGAUAGAGUCAGACAGAUAAGGUGAGAGUGAGGAACAGAAGGAUAGAGUCAGACAGAUAAGAUGAGAGAGAGUGAGGAACAGAUGGAUAGAGUCAGACAAAUAAGGUGAGAGUGAGGAAGAGACUGGUAGAGUCAGACAGAUAAAGUGAGAGAGAAUGAAGAACAGAUGGAUAGAGUCAGACAGAUAAGGUGAGAGAGAGUGAGGAACAGAUAGUCAGACAGAUGAGAGUGAGAAACAGAUGGAUAGAGUCAGGCAGAUAAGGUGAGAGUGAGAAACAGAUGGAUAUAGUCAGACAGAUAAGGUGAGAGAGUGAGGAACAGAUGUAUAGAGUCAGACAGAUAAGGUGAGAGAGAGUGAGGAACAGAUGGAUAGAGUCAGAUAAAGUGAGAGAGAAUGAAGAACAGAUGGAUAGAGUCAGACAGAUAAGGUGAGAGUGAGGAACAGAUGGAUAGAGUCAGACAGAUAAGAUGAGAGUGAGGAACAGAUGGAUAGAGUCAGACAGAUAAGGUGAGAGAGAGUGAGGAACAGAUGGAUAGAGUCAGACAGAUAAGGGGAGAGUGAGAAACAGAUGGAUAGAGUCAGACAGAUAAGGUGAGAGUGAGAAACAGAUGGAUAGAGCCAGACAUUAAGGUGAGAGUGAGAAACAGACUGGUAGAGUCAGACAGAUAUAGUGAGAGAGAGUUAAGAACAGAUGGAUAGAGUCAGACAGAUAAGGUGAGAGUGAGGAACAGAUGGAUAGAGUCAGACAGAUAAGAUGAGAGUGAGGAACAGAUGAAUAGUCAGACAGAUAAAGUGAGAGCAUGAAGAACAGAUGAAUAGAGUCAGACAGCUAAGAUGAGUAAGAAACAGACUGGUAGAGUCAGACAAAGUGAGAGAGAAUGAACAGAUGGAUAGAGUCAGACAGAUGAGGUGAGAGAGAGUGAGGAACAGAUGGAUAGAGUCAGACAGAUAAGGUGAGAGAGAGUGAGGAACAGAUGGAUAGAGUCAGACAGAUAAGGUGAGAGUGAGAAACAGAUGGGUAGAGUCAGACAGAUAAGGUGAAAGAGAGAGUGAGGAACAGAUGGAUAGAGUCAGACAGAUAAGGUGAGAGAGAGUGAGGAACAGAUGGAUAGAGUCAGACAGAUAAGGUGAGAGUGAGAAACAGAUGGAUAGAGUCAGACAGAUGAGGUGAGAGAGAGUGAGGAACAGAUGGAUAGAGUCAGACAGAUAAGGUGAGAGAGAGUGAGGAACAGAUGGAUAGAGUCAGACAGAUAAGAUGAGAGUGAGAAACAGAUGGGUAGAGUCAGACAGAUAAGGUGAAAGAGAGAGUGAGGAACAGAUGGAUAGAGUCAGACAGAUAAGGUGAGAGAGAGUGAGGAACAGAUGGAUAGAGUCAGACAGAUAAGGUGAGAGUGAGAAACAGAUGGAUAGAGUCAGACAGAUAAGGUGAGAGUGAGAAACAGAUGGAUAGAGCCAGACAAAUAAGGUGAGAGUGAGAAACAGACUGGUAGAGUCAGACAGAUAAAGUGAGAGAGAGUGAAGAACAGAUGGAUAGAGUCAGAUAAGGUGAGAGUGAGAAACAGAUGGAUAGAGUCAGACAGAUAAGGUGAGAGUGAGAAACAGAUGGAUAGAGCCAGACAAAUAAGGUGAGAGUGAGGAACAGACUGGUAGAGUCAGACAGAUAAAGUGAGAGAGAGUUAAGAACAGAUGGAUAGAGUCAGAUAAGGUGAGAGUGAGAAACAGAUGGAUAGAGUCAGACAGAUAAGGUGAGAGUGAGAAACAGAUGGAUAGAGUCAGACAGAUAAGGUGAGAGUGAGAAACAGAUGGAUAGAGCCAGACAAAUAAGGUGAGAGUGAGAAACAGACUGGUAGAGUCAGACAGAUAAAGUGAGAGAGAGUGAAGAACAGAUGGAUAGAGUCAGAUAAGGUGAGAGAGAGUGAGGAACAGAUGGAUAGAUUCAGAUAAGGUGAGAGUGAGAAACAGAUGGAUAGAGCCAGACAAAUAAGGUGAGAGUGAGGAACAGACUGGUAGAGUCAGACAGAUAAAGUGAGAGA